GCAUAGGUAACGAAGCGGUUAACGUGCUCGCCUCGAGAGCGAGUGGCCCAACGGCCUCGGGGGUUCAAAUCCCUCCCUAUGCGCCA
rnacentral:tRNA from 1 species